GACAGAGGGUGCAAACGUUGCUCGGAAUUACUGGGCGUAAAGCGCGUGUAGGCGGCUCGGUAAGUCUGCUGUGAAAGUCCAGGGCUCAACCCUGGGAUGCCGGUGGAUACUGUCGAGCUCGAGUCCGGAAGAGGCGAGUGGAAUUCCUGGUGUAGCGGUGAAAUGCGCAGAUAUCAGGAGGAACACCAAUGGCGAAGGCAGCUCGCUGGGACGUGACUGACGCUGAGACGCGAAAGCGUGGGGAGCAAACAGG
rnacentral:rRNA from 1 species